rnacentral:misc_RNA from 1 species
AAUUCUCAACCUUAUUAACUUUUGUUGAUAAUGGAUUGGAUUGUGGGGGUUUCUUUUGCUGGCUUCUUCACAGAGAUCAGCUCCCCUUAAAUGCAUUAGCUGGUGCCCCGCGUGGACCAUCUAUUGGUGUGAUAAUUAUCUACGCCGUGGAUGUCUGCAAUCAUAUGGGUUUUGCACUGCUUCUAACCGUCUGUUCAUUCGGACAAUACAUGACA